rnacentral:lncRNA from 1 species
AUGACUUUGAACACAAGUGGCAGUCGCCUUCACCCUGAUACACCGCAAGCGUUGAUGGGUACUCAAAGAUUGUUGUCAAAUAAAAUUAAAAAAAAAACGACGUACAAAAAUGUUGUGUUCAAAGGCCACCUUACGGUGGUUGAUAGUUGAUAAAACAUAGAACCAAUGGCGGUGGUAAUGGCGGCCAGUGGUUGACAUAGAUACUAUGUAAACUUAACUAUCUAGAAAAAUCAAUAAAGGUUUACCGAAGCUAUUUCAUUUGCUAGCUAGUAGCACUUAUUGUCUUCAAAUCCACGGCUUCAGAACUCACACCAUGAAUCUCAGUCCUUAGAUCAUCCUUUGAUGCAUCAUAGGAAGCAUGCAAUCCAAUAAAAAAGUAGUACACAAGCAGCACACCGGUCCAACCCAAGAACCGCAAGAACGAAGCACCAUCGAUCGAGCCCAUAAUGAACACAUUAACAACAAUGCUAGCUGAUGGCAACCAUGGAACCAUUGGCACUCCCCACAGUUUCGGGCUUCUAGCUUGUUUCACCAACAGUUGAAGACCAAGUGUCGAUAAAAACCAAACGCCUACCAUAAUCGCAUACCCAACCCAAAGAUUCACAUUCAUCGCCCAAAGAACUGAGAGGCCAAUAGCCGAGGAAAUAAUCAAAAACAGCAGCACAAUCAGCUUGUUUCGGUCAGAAACCGAUGUUUCUCCUGUUGAGUAGUAUCGUCUCACUAGUAAAGCGAGAGCCACUAGUGAGAAAAUGAAGAGUGUGGAGAUUGAAAGAAGGUUGGCAAGUAGGUCGAGAUUUGUGAAGAAUGCGACUAGGCAGUUUGCUAAUGUCAUGAUGACGGUGGCAUUCACGGGUGUUCCGCGUUUCUCGUGGAUCACGGCUAGAAUCGGUGGAGCCAGGUGGGUCCGAGCAAUGUGAGUGAAAUACCGAGCUUGACCGAUGAUAGUAGCUAACAGAACCGUCGUCAUUCCCUGUAGCGCGCCUAAUGCGACUAUAUAUUUAGCCCAAUUCAUACCAGCGGCGUGGAACACUAUUGAGAACGGUGCAUCUCGGUCAAUCUGGUUGUAUGGCUGCAUCAGGCAUAAAAC